UUUUCGCUUUUUUGGUAUAUUUUAAGGUCGACGUUAUAUUCUAUACACGCUCACAGUCUGACCAUUGGAAUCUAUACAGCCUUAAAUUUUUCCGUAAAGUAAACCAUGAAACUGUUGCCUGCGACCAUUUCAACUAGUUUUAUUUCCGGAUAGCACUUUAAGCUCCCGUUUUAGUAUAAUAACUCUUUUAAGGAUUAUAACUUGUACUUCCAAUAUGUCGACAUGGAUGAACAGCCUCAAGUCAACUUUGUAAGUGCUCCGUCACCAUGAUGUGUCGCUGUGGUACGAAAGGAUUGGGAUCAAAUACACAAAUAUUUUGGAAAUUCCUAGAGUGAAAACAACUAAAUUUGGUUAUGCAGAUUGUUGAGAGCAAAAUGAUGAGGGAAGGCAGGAAAGAGCACCUGAGUCUUAUAGUCUGGUCAUGUUAACAUGUUAAAUGUUUAAAACACCUUCUUUUUUAAUCAUGAUUUUCCAAUAUGAUAUCAUGUGUAUUGUGAUCCUAAAAUUGGCCUUUUUCUUUAUUGGAUUUUUAGGAAUAUUUAAUUGCUUCAGACUUUGAAAUGAUAUCAUGACCGUAUAGCAAACCACAAAGUAUGUUUUAAUAUAUAUUUUGCCUAAAACUAUCGUACAGGCCAUCUAUAUAGCUUUUGUUGUAAAAAAAACUUCUUAAUAUUUGCACAAUAGGUUUUAAGACUUUGAUUUUUGAAGGUGAUCAACAAAAGAAAGAUUUUUCAUAGAAUUUUCUUUUAUAUUAUGAUUUAAUUGCAGUAUGUACUCAUGGCAAAAUGGUGUUCGAGAGGUGGCGAAUAAGGAUUUGCUUGCAAAAUUGAAGAACGAUAAUAUGCAAAGAACAGAAAGAAAGGUUCUCUUAACAUAGAAAGUAAAGAAAUAAUGAAGUUCACACUACAGUUGACAAUCUGGAUGUGUUUCCUUUGUUAUUUGAACAUGAUUUAUUUUAACUUAGGUAACAAGUAUGCACUACAAUAAUGAAUAUCUAUAUUAAUAGUAAUGAUAUGCCAUUAAACAUGGAUAUGGAAAAAAUAUUCUUUGACAGUGCAAGAUAAGAUAAAUCCAGACAUAGUCAGAGUCUUCAGUUAACUUGGAUGUGUUCCAUUUGUUUCAUCCACAUACUUGAAUUUUGUCUUGUAACUACAUGUAUUUUUAUGAGGUUAAGUGGUGAGUAAUCAACCAUUUUCUUAUUUGGGGAUAGUAUGUAUUUAUGUUGACACUAUGUGUACCUUCAUUUUUCUGUACGAAACAAGACCAAAUGUGUCAUUUUAGUUAAACCAUUUUAAACUGUAUUUAUUAUACUCUUUGAAUACCCAUUCAUAUAUUAUCUAACAUUUUAACAAAUUUAACUGUGUUGUUAUAUUGAUUAUAUUGUAUUGGUGUCAUAGGGUACAUGUACAUGUCCAUUCCUAGCCUUCAAGAUAAAACAGAUAUAUUUUUUGUUGUAAAAUGUGUUCUUUAUGCAUUUACAUAUAGAGUGGCUACAGAGAAUUCAACAUUUUUUCUUACAAAAUAUCUAAGGGUUUCCCUGCAUGUGAUUGCUACAUUCAGUGUACCUCAUGUUAUAUAAUACAUUAUAUAUGAUCAAUAAAACAGAUUAAGAACCAAAGCUGUUGCUAAAUACUUUUUAAAAGCUGUAUAUGUACAAGACAAUACUGAGACUGUAUAGACACCAAUGUUUGUCCUACC